rnacentral:rRNA from 1 species
CCUACGGGAGGCAGCAGUGAGGAAUAUUGGGCAAUGGGCGCUAGCCUGAACCAGCCAAGUAGCGUGAAGGAUGAAGGCUCUAUGGGUUGUAAACUUCUUUUAUAUGGGAAUAAAGUGCAGUAUGUAUACUGCUUUGCAUGUACCAUAUGAAUAAGGAGCGGCUAACUCCGUGUCAGCAGCAGCGGUAAUACGGAGGAUCCGAGCGUUAUCCGGAUUUAUUGGGGUUAAAGGGAGCGUCGUCGGGUUGUUAAGUCAGUUGUGUCAGUUUGCGGCUCAACCAUAAAAUUGCAGUUGAUACUGGCAUCCUUGAGUACAGUAGAGGUAGGCGGAAUUCGUGGUGUAGCGGUGAAAUGCUUAGAUAUCACGAAGAACUCCGAUUGCGAAGGCAGCCUGCUGGACUGUAACUGACGCUGAUGCUCGAAAGUGUGGGUAUCAAACAGGAUUAGAUACCCGGGUAGUC